rnacentral:rRNA from 1 species
UACGUAGGGUGCAAGCGUUGUCCGGAAUUAUUGGGCGUAAAGAGCUCGUAGGCGGUCUGUCGCGUCUGCUGUGAAAACUCAGGGCUUAACCCCGAGCCUGCAGUGGAUACGGGCAGACUAGAGGUAGGUAGGGGAGAAUGGAAUUCCCGGUGUAGCGGUGAAAUGCGCAGAUAUCGGGAGGAACACCGGUGGCGAAGGCGGUUCUCUGGGCAUGUCCUGACGCUGAGGAGCGAAAGUGUGGGGAGCGAACAGG